UCAUUAGAAAGCAGCUGACGCGACGCAGCGAUGUUGCCAGCCCAGUCCAGACGGAUGCCCAAGAGCCGAGCUUAGCUUUUAACUAGUUUAUAUCUGGCAGCCAUCGAGUGUGCAACGUCCGACGGAAGUUGAAGUUGUCUCCGUGACAAAACGCGAACCGAUUCUUGUUAUUCUUGCCUUGCCCAUGGACAGCUUUAAAUAGCUGCGUUUAUGCGUGUGUGUGUGUGUGUCUAUGUGCGUAUUUGUUUGUGUGUGACAACGUCAAAGAAAACAUUAAGCAAUUUGAAAUCAACGGCAAACGAGUGAAAUCUGAUUGGAAUUUUAAAUACGUCAAAGCUUUUGUGAGCGCAAACAAUGAAUUCACUGCCCAAAUGUAUUUGGCGUGCCAAAGCGACAAACUGUGCCACGCCUGCUUUCAGACGGACUGCAUCAAAAAUUGCUGGCGUUCAGCCACCGUUGCUGCAAGGAGAGCAACGACAGCGUCGCCUAGAUGGACAGCAACAACAACGUGAGAACUCGGCAGCAGCCGCAGAAGCAGCAACAUCUGCUGGAACUGCAGCAGUCUGUCCACAUUUGGAUCUAGAGCAGGAGCCAGCAGCUCCACGAAUUCAUGCCACAGCCGAGUGGCAAAAUGCAUUGCCCUACAAUGAAAUACCAGGACCAAAGCCAAUACCCAUACUAGGCAACACCUGGCGCCUUAUGCCAAUUAUUGGCCAGUACACCAUAUCGGAUGUGGCCAAAAUCUCCUCGCUGCUGCACGACAGAUACGGACGCAUAGUACGUUUCUCCGGUCUUAUAGGCAGGCCCGAUCUGCUCUUCAUCUACGAUGCUGAUGAAAUUGAAAAGUGCUACCGCAGUGAAGGACCCACGCCUUUCCGGCCCUCGAUGCCCAGUCUGGUCAAAUACAAAAGCGUCGUGCGCAAGGAUUUCUUCGGCGAACUUGGCGGCGUUGUGGGCGUUCACGGCGAGCCAUGGCGUCAGUUCCGAUCGCGUGUGCAGAAGCCUGUGCUGCAGUUGUCGACCAUUAGACGCUAUCUGCAGCCGCUGGAGGUGAUUACGGAGGACUUUUUGGUACGUUGCGAACAGCUGUUGGAUGGCAACGAGGAGCUGCCAGCUGACUUUGACAAUGAAAUCCACAAAUGGUCCUUGGAGUGCAUUGGUCGUGUGGCUCUAGACACGCGGCUAGGCUGCUUGGAGCAUAACCUGACGCCAGAUUCGGAGCCCCAGCAGAUCAUCGAUGCAGCCAAAUAUGCUCUACGCAACGUGGCCACGCUGGAACUGAAGGCGCCGUACUGGCGCUACUUCCCCACUCCACUGUGGACGCGUUAUGUGAAGAACAUGAACUUCUUUCGUUUGCAUGAAGUAUAUACAAAGCGCAACAGAGCGCUUGAAGACACAGGAUCCCAGUCAACGAGCAGGCGAGCCGUCGCUGCUGGAGAAGGUCAUUAUGUCGGAGAAGGAUGAAAAGAUAGCCACCAUUAUGGCAUUGGAUCUGAUACUCGUGGGCAUUGACACAAUUUCGAUGGCCGUGUGCUCCAUUCUAUACCAAUUGGCCACGCGGCCCAUGGAGCAGCAGAAGGUGCACGAAGAGCUGAAGCGCCUGCUGCCG
rnacentral:misc_RNA from 1 species